GACGAACGCUGGCGGCGUGCUUAACACAUGCAAGUCGAACGGAAAGGCCCUGCUUUUGUGGGGUGCUCGAGUGGCGAACGGGUGAGUAACACGUGAGUAACCUGCCCUUGACUUUGGGAUAACUUCAGGAAACUGGGGCUCAUACCGGAUAGGAGCUCCUGCUGCAUGUUGGGGGUUGGAAAGUUUCGGCGGUUGGGGAUGGACUCGCGGCUUAUCAGCUUGUUGGUGGGGUAGUGGCUUACCAAGGCUUUGACGGGUAGCCGGCCUGAGAGGGUGACCGGCCACAUGGGGACUGAGAGACGGCCCAGACUGCUACGGGAGGCAGCAGUGGGGAAUAUUGCACAAUGGGCGGAAGCCUGAUGCAGCAACGCCGCGUGCGGGAUGACGGCCUUCGGGUUGUAAACCGCUUUCGCCUGUGACGAAGAGUGAGUGACGGUAAUGGGUAAAGAAGCACCGGCUAACUACGUG
rnacentral:rRNA from 1 species